GGAAAGUGGUAAAAAUGAGUUCAGGUUUUCAGGUGUCCAAAAAAGGAAACUCAAGAGGCAGGGCCUAGGGGGCUGAGAGAGGCUGCAGAGAAGUUAAAAAACUUUCCAGAAAAAUCGGCAGCCUGGAAGCUGGUGUGUCUUGGUAACCCAGCACUGAGAAAAAUCGGCAGCCUGGAAGCUGGUGUGUCUUGGUAACCCAGCACUGAAGUUGCUCAAGCCGAGGGCAUCUGCACCGUCCCACGGGGUCUGGGUGACCAGCACCUCCGAGGGCGCCGAGGCACACGGUGGAUCGCUGUGCUCUGCGAAGCGCAGUCCCGGCCCCCAGCAGCCCGGCGUCCACGUGCAGACUGCGGGCGCGGAGGAUCGCAUCAUGCUUCCCCGCCCCGCCCCGCCCUCUGCCCGGCUGAGCCGGGACCCUGGCGCCGCGCACCCAUCACUUCUGUGAACCGCGGCGGGGUCCCCGGCGGCCACACAUUCGUUUAGGGUAGGGUUGCCUCUCCUCUGACAGGCACGUGCGCGUGCACAGUGCGAACUCAAGCCGUAAUUCUUCAUUUUUCACUUGUAUUCGACAAAGACUCCAUUACCACCUCUGCUCGCCCCGGGGGCGGUGGCCGCAGGAGAAGCGCGCGGUGCGGGCCUGGUAGCUCCCCCCACCGUCAAGAGGGCUGCGCGUGCGCAGAGUGGCCUGGCCGCCCGGAGGAGGCGCCUGCAGACCGUGCCCUCCCGGGCUGCUCCAGUACAUUAAAGCGUUCUUUGUGAACGGGGGUUCGCGAGAGCUGCAGGGAACACCUCAGGGGUAGUCAGCUUCUGCAGCAAAGUCUGGAACCAUCCGCCAGGAAUGGCUAGCCAGCACGUGAAGGACUCAGACCCACACAGCAGUAAUCAGUUUAAACCUCAUCACCUGAAUCAAACCAGGGGGCUUGUGAAUUAAUAGCUAAGACAUUUUGAAAUUGUUUUUCUUAGUAAUAUUAGAGAGAUUGAAGACAUGUGGUCGACUUGAGAAACAAACUGAACCAUCCUUGGGAGGGGGGGUGGUGCUGUACCUGCAUCCAGCAAGGAGUUUGGACCUUGGGUCUGGGGUUCCACUUGAUCCUGUGUCCCCAUCGCUCAGGGAAGCCCUGGCAGCUAUGCCCCCUGGAGCAGCUGCCUGCACCCCUUGAACGGGGUUCUCCUUGGAGUGACCGAGGACGGGGAGCAGGUAGGGUCACAGGAUGCUAUGAACCUGGGACCAAAGAAAAGUUACACGUGCAGCAGAAUCCCACCACCUGGGCCUUCAUCAGUCAUCCCACUUGGGAGCGGGAUUUGGGGAGUGAAGGACAGACAGCCCAUCUGCGUCCAGCAGGAGGAGGCCCCCUGACGGUUAUAAACGAAUGGACCAGUGCUGAAUGAAGCCACUGGAAGACAGGUGCAGCCCGUGGGAGAAGUGAAAGCAUGUCUGAAGAGUUUUGGUUCUAAUUAUUAAGUGUCUGACACUCUACUAUCUUACGUCCGGUGAGCGUUAGCAGAUUUCUGAGAUCCUUCUGCAUACAGUGUCUCUUUUCACUGUCAGAACCAGCGCAAGGGACCUCGGCCGCAUUCACUUCUACACAGACAAGGAAUCUGAACCCAAAGAUCUCCCUUGACCCCUUAAAGUUGAGUGCAGAAUGCCAUUCUCAAACUAGCACCCAGGUACAGCAGAAGAUCUAAGAAGGUUGGAGUUACGUUUUGUCUCUGCUACACCUCCAGAGCCUAAUACAGAGGCGGAUACAUUUUUCUUCUAUUAGAUACAAAGGAAUGUAUAAGGACUUGUUGCAUCUUAGAGCAAGAACACAUCCCACUGUGGAACUCCUUGAUAUACAUUUGUGGGGUGAACAACCCACCAGGUUCCUCUAUCCAUGGAUUCUCCAGGCAAGAAUACUGAAGUGGAUUGCC